UCAGUACAAGCCGAAUUAAGGUGAAACCGCGAAAGGCUCAUUAAAUCAGUUAUGGUUCCUUAGAUCGUACCCACAAUUACUUGGAUAACUGUGGUAAUUCUAGAGCUAAUACAUGCAAAUAGAACUCCGACCGGAGACGGAAGGAGUGCUUUUAUUAGAUCAAAACCAAUCGGUGGCGGGUUUGCGCUCGUCAUCGUACAACUUGGUGACUCUGAAUAACUUUACGCUGAUCGCACGGUCAUCGCACCGGCGACGCAUCUUUCAAAUGUCUGCCUUAUCAACUGUCGAUGGUAGGUUCUGCGCCUACCAUGGUUGUAACGGGUAACGGGG
rnacentral:rRNA from 1 species